rnacentral:rRNA from 1 species
AUGCUCUGCAAUUCAGCCCACUCCAUGCUUCAGGAGCUGUGGAGGUGUGAUGAAGACACGCAGCUGAAGGCCGUGACCUUUAUGUGGGAAUGGUGGAAUGUUCGCAACAAGACCAAUGCUGGUGAGGUGACUCCAAAGCCUCAAGCGGUUUGUCACCGGGUGGAGAAGAUGCUGAUUGAGUCCCUGGGCUUGCGAAAGCUAAACAAGCCUCCUAAGCCACCGGACAUUCACAAAUGGAGCAAGCCCCCAAUGCAUUAUGUGAAGGUUAAUUUCGACGGUGCCUUUGAUGAAAAUACAUGUGCAGGGGGCUGGGGCUAUGUGGUCCGUGGUCAGGCUGGCGAAUUCAUCGCUGCUGGUGCGGGCAAGUCUGUGAACCUGAAAUGUGCUUUGCAAUCUGAAUCUGUAGCCUGCCUUGCUGCCAUUGAUGGGGCGAUUAGGAUUGGGGCAAAUCGAAUCAUUUUCGAGUCUGAUUCCUCAACCCUUAUACAAGCUUUGAAGAGCAACGAGUAUGAUAAGGCAACCAUUGGUGUGUUGGUGAAGGAAGCUAAAAGCCUAUGCAUUCUAAACUUUGAUUCAUAUGGUUUUUCUUUCAGUCGACGCACUUGUAACUCUGUAGCCCAUGAGCUUGCCAAGCUGGGCGUUCAUUCUGGGUCUGAUGACUCCUUCUCGAAGGCCUCUGCCCCCAAUUGCAUUGUAAAACUGCUAGCCAGUGACAUUGCUGUGCUUGAAGUUUAA